AUUGAACGCUGGCGGCAGGCCUAACACAUGCAAGUCGGACGGUAGCACAGAGGAGCUUGCUCCUCGGGUGACGAGUGGCGGACGGGUGAGUAAUGUCUGGGGAUCUGCCCGAUAGAGGGGGAUAACCACUGGAAACGGUGGCUAAUACCGCAUAACGUCGCAAGACCAAAGAGGGGGACCUUCGGGCCUCUCACUAUCGGAUGAACCCAGAUGGGAUUAGCUAGUAGGCGGGGUAACGGCCCACCUAGGCGACGAUCCCUAGCUGGUCUGAGAGGAUGACCAGCCACACUGGAACUGAGACACGGUCCAGACUCCUACGGGAGGCAGCAGUGGGGAAUAUUGCACAAUGGGCGCAAGCCUGAUGCAGCCAUGCCGCGUGUAUGAAGAAGGCCUUCGGGUUGUAAAGUACUUUCAGCGGGGAGGAAGGCGAUGUGGUUAUUAACCGCAUUGAUUGACGUUACCCGCAGAAGAAGCACCGGCUAACUCCAUGCCAGCCGCCGCAGUAA
rnacentral:rRNA from 1 species